rnacentral:lncRNA from 7 species
AGUGUGCCUUCGGCCUCGUGUUGAGCUUUGUGCUUAGGAACGGGGAAACCUCGCUCAGAUGCUCAAUGCCGUCCUUCUCCCUUGCCCCUGAACUACAGCUCAGAGCUAACAAAACUGUAUUCCUGGAUGAAAUUUUAACAGAUCCCCAGCAUAAAGUUUCAGCUCGGGGCAAUGUGGAGGUGCCGCAGAUAAACAAGAAGAACAAUUCUGCGUAUUGAACUCUCAAACGAAAGUUUACUUUCCCUCUUCUCCCUGUCUACCUGUGCUCUGAGGCAACAAACACUGCUUCAGUGGCAAGAAAAAGGAGCAGAACAGAACUGAACAUUUCCGUGCUUUCAGAAGGAAGAAAAAAAGUCAGGAGUUUAUCUUUCAAGGAUGACUGCUCUUCAAGUACACCAGGUGGGAUCCAAUCAUGCGCUGCAUCUGAAGUGCACUUGAGAUAAAUUCAGGAUAGGUUCAUGCUUGGCCUCAGCUCUCACCAGAUCUGAAAAAUUCCAGAAGAAAUGAUACCAACAAGAUAAAAGGAGGAAAAAAAACAAAAAUACAAAAAUACUUUGUAUUUUCCUGUCCACCUUAAAACUAAGGCAAGCAUCAUUUGCUGGUCAAUUAUGAGCAUUUCCUUCAUUGUCUACUCAUUGUGAAGAAUAGCAGUGCCCCAUUCUGCAGGGUUCUGAAGCCGUACUCCAUCUUCUCAGCACCACUGGAACACCUCUUCACUUGUGCACUUCACAAAUUGCUGCAUGCCCUGCCAUCACAGAGUUAAUUUAACCAGCUGUUAAAAUGACUGUUAUAUUAGUAUUUUUCACCUAUGUGGUAUUACUUAAAAAGCUGAUGAUUAAAAAGAAGGUGAAAGAACAGGCUGAAAUAGUAAUUCACAGUGCAAAAAUGAUGAAGUGAUGAAGAAAUUAUAGCUUGUGAAGCCCAAAAAAGCCAAUCAGACCACCUACUGGACUUGUGACAGUUUCAUUAAGAUGAGAGACUGAAGAGAGAGAAAGAUGAUUGGGUUUUAAAAAUUGGUCUCCUGACAUGGGGGAUGCGGAGAAGCUGGGUUUGCACGUGGUGGCAGUGCUCUCCUGCACUGCUGGCAGCCCUGGCUGUCCCAGAUGCUGCUUCUGCCUGCAGAAGAUGGAGGGGGAGUGUGGGCUCUGGGGCUCAUUUUCUGCCUAAUAUUUUCUUAAUUCAUUUUAAAUACUCCUCCUCUGCACUCAUGGAGCUCUGCUAUUUUACAGCUUUUAUUAUUGUAUGAAGUUUCUCUUUGAAAAGAAAGAGAAGAAAGGAGGCACUGGAAAUGGCUGAACAUGUUUCUAUUUCAGAACGGUGGGAGCCUCUGUUAUUCAGUGUCCCUUGAGAUUACGGAUAGAUGGUGGAGAAGAUGUGAAUGAGACCAUAUUUGAUAGUUCAUUUCUGGCUGGCACAGCACUGCCACUCAUGGACCAUCUCCCUCCCUUCCUCCCUCCCUUCUUUCCUUCCUUCCUUGGUUCGUUCAUUCCUUCCUUGCUUCCUUCCUUCCUCUCAACUCUGUCACCAUCUGUAGUGUUUCUUUGCAGUAUGUUGCAACACAGACCUACUGGUCCUACUGCAGAUGUCGGAAGUUAGUGUAUAGUUUUAUUGUUAUCUGUAGAACAGCAGUGGGAACAUGGCUUUGUCAACUCAGUUUUGUUGUGGUUCCAUAGCAUUAACUGCCUUUCUCAAAGCUUCUGUCUGAAUUCCUAUGGCAUGCCAAGAACCUCAUCUUUUGUUCAUGUUAUGAAAGGAAUGUGUGGUUUUUCUGGUGGUGUGGAAGAACUUGACAGUGUGAACAAAACAAGGAUUUUGACAGAAAAAAAACAAGUUUUCUUUUGUCCAAGAAAACGCAAGGCGCUGUUGACCAGAUUUUUGCUGACCUCUAAUGGUCAACAUGGAGUGAAUUUCCAUAAUAAAGCAUUAAUGAGUGU